rnacentral:rRNA from 1 species
GGGGUGAGUAAUGUCUGGGAAACUGCCUGAUGGAGGGGGAUAACUACUGGAAACGGUAGCUAAUACCGCAUAACGUCGCAAGACCAAAGUGGGGGACCUUCGGGCCUCAUGCCAUCAGAUGUGCCCAGAUGGGAUUAGCUAGUAGGUGGGGUAAUGGCUCACCUAGGCGACGAUCCCUAGCUGGUCUGAGAGGAUGACCAGCCACACUGGAACUGAGACACGGUCCAG